rnacentral:rRNA from 1 species
GAUAAUACUCCGUAGCUAUAGGUAGUGGAAUGUUCUUUAACAGAAAGUUCCGACGCUUUAGGAUGGAUCUGCGGCAUGAUUAGGUUGUUGUUGGGGUAGUGGCCCAACAAGCCUGUAAUCGGUACGGGUUGUGGGAGCAAGAGCCCGGAGAUGGAAUAUGAGACACGAUUACAGUCCCUACGGGGCGCAGCAGGCGCGAAAACUUUACAAUGCAGGAAACUGUGAUAAGGGAACCCCGAGUGCCCGUAUAUGCGGGCUGUCCGGAUGUUUAAAACGCAUCCGAAGAAAGGGCCGGGCAAGACCGGUGCCAGCCGCCGCGGUAAUACCGGCGGCUCGAGUGGUGGCCACUUUUAUUGGGCUUAAAGCGUUCGUAGCUUGAAUAAUAAGUCUCUUGGGAAAUCUGCAGGCUUAACCUGCAGGCGUUUAAGAGAAACUGUUGUUCUAGGAACCGGAAGAGGUGAGAGGUACUCCGGGGGUAGGAGUGAAAUCCUGUAAUCCCCGGGGGACCACCGAUGGCGAAGGCAUCUCACCAGGACGGCUUCGACAGUGAGGAACGAAAGCUGGGGGAGCGAACCGGAUUAGAUACCCGGGUAGUCCCAGCCGUAAACGAUGUGCGUUAGGUGUGCCGGUGACCACGAGUCACUGGGGUGCCGAAGGGAAACCGUGAAACGUACCGCCUGGGAAGUACGGUCGCAAGGCUGAAACUUAAAGGAAUUGGCGGGGGAGCACAAGGG